GAAAUGCGAUAAGUAGUGUGAAUUGCAGAAUUCAGUGAAUCAUCGAAUCUUUGAACGCACAUUGCGCCCUUUGGUAUUCCAAAGGGCAUGCCUGUUCGAGCGUCAUUUGUACCCUCAAGCUUUGCUUGGUGUUGGGCGUCUUGUCUCCAGUUCGCUGGAGACUCGCCUUAAAGUAAUUGGCAGCCGGCCUACUGGUUUCGGAGCGCAGCACAAGUCGCGCUCUCUUCCAACCAAGGUCAGCAUCCACAAAGCCUUUUUUCAACUUUUGACCUCGGAUCAGGUAGGGAUACCCGCUGAACUUAAGC
rnacentral:misc_RNA from 1 species